rnacentral:tRNA from 1 species
ACCUUAUUAGCUCAACGGCAGAGCUGAAUUGUUUUAAUAUUCAGACCUUAGUUCGACUCUAGGGUAAGGUA